rnacentral:rRNA from 1 species
AUGAAGGAUCUCGGAGUAGCUGAUGUUAUCUUAAACAUCAAGCUGUUGAGAGAUGAGAAUGGUGGGAUCACACUGCUUCAGUCUCAUUAUGUGGAAAAGGUCUUGAGUCGUUUUGGGUAUAGCGACUGCACGCCUUCUCCAACUCCAUAUGAUGAUAGUGUGUUGCUUCGAAAGAAUCGACGGAUUGCUAGAGAUCAACUGAGCCAGUCUCAGAUUAUUGGCUCGCUUAUGUAUUUGGCGAGUGCCACGAGGCCUGACAUAUCUUUUGCUGUGAGUAAGCCGAGUCGGUUUGUGUCAAUACCGGGAGAUGAUCAUUGGCAUGCGCUUGAGAGAGUUAUGCGCUAUUUGAAAGGCACCGCGAGCUAUGGGAUUCACUACACCGGGUAUCCAAGGGUACGGGAGGGUUAUAGUGACUCAAACUGGAUAUCUGAUGCUGAUGAGAUUAAGGCCACAAGUGGUUAUGUUUUUACACUUGGUGGUGGCGCUGUUUCCUGGAAGUCUUGCAAGCAGACCAUCUUAACGAGGUCAACUAUGGAAGCAGAACUCACAGCAUUAGACACUGCCACUGUUGAAGCAGAGUGGCUUCGUGAACUCUUGAUGGACUUACCUAUGGUUGAAAAACCAAUACCCCCUAUCCUGAUGAACUGUGAUAAUCAAACUGUGAUCAUCAAGAUAAACAGUUCUAAGGACAAUAUGAAGUCCUCAAGGCAUGUGAAGAGGAGACUAAAAUCUGUCAGAAAACUGAGGAACUCCGGAGUUAUUACAUUGGAUUAUAUCCAAACAUCGAAAAACUUGGCAGAUCCCUUCACAAAGGGUCUAUCACGUAAUGUAAUAGAUAAUGCAUCGAUGGAGAUGGGUUUGAGACCCACC